GUCGGGGGACACAGUUAGAGGACUGCGCUGCUUCCCAAACACAUCCGGACUCGACUAAUGCUGUGUGUUUGGGACAGGACUGUCUGUUUGUCUGAGCAAUGACUGACGGAGGCAGGAAAACUCUUUCACACUUCUGUCUGGUGACACUAGGGCUGAAGGACGCCGCUCACGCGCAACUUUAACACUUCAUGAUAGAGGUCUGAUCCAAGCAGAGAUUGAAGAGGACACAAACCCACCAAUAAGUAGAAAUGGCCAAAUUGUCCCUCCCCAGUAUUUGAUACCCUCAAAAAUAUAUAUUUAGGCUUAAAUGAUGUAAUCCAGUAAUAUCCAGUGAUGCAAACUACUUGACUUUCUGUCAAAAUUCGCUGUUUUGAAUUGAAAAUAUAGGCUGAAUCAAUCACGUGAUUGAAUGAGAAGAGACCAUUUUGCUGUUUUGCGUUUCCGACAUGUUAGGCAUAUGGAGGAACAAAUGUGUGCACAUUUUAAAAUAAAAAAAUAGUUCAAAUUGAUUACUUUACGAAAGAUUCUUAUUCUCAAAACAGCCUUGAGGUCAAGCAUGAGCACAAAUAAUAGUGACGCUUGAUUAAAGGUGCAGUAAGCCAUUUCUGAGAAACGCUGUUGAAAGUGGAUUGGACCGAGCAUCAAAACACACUUGUAGCCAAUCAGCAGUAGGGGGCGUGUCCACUCAUGAGGGGGGAGGAGAGAGUGAACCAAUCAGCAAUAAGGGGCGUGUCCUAUCAUGAGGGGGGAGGAGAGAGUGAGGUAAUCAGCAGUAAGAGGUGUGUCCUCUCAUGAGGGGGGAGGAGAGAGUGAGCCAAUCAGCAGUAAGGGGCGUGUCCUCUCAUGAGGGGGGAGGAGAGAGUGAGGUAAUCAGCAUUAAGGGGCGUGUCCUCUCAUGAGGAAGGAGGAGAGAGUGAACCAAUCAGCAGUAAGGGGCAUGUCCUCUCAUGAGGGGGGAGGAGAGAGUGAGCCAAUCAGCAGUAAGGGGCAUGUCCACUCAUGAGGGGGUUGCAUAGCAUGUUUGUGCAUUUGGGGGCGUGGCUGUCAAGUUAAGGGUGUGAUCAUUUUGGGUAGGGGCGUGUGUUUUGGUGAUUUCAAAUAUCAACAUUGUUUCUCAGAAAUCACUUACCACACCUUAAAUGACUACUAUUGACUUUAAAAUCAUACAGCUGGAAAAUCUUGUUUUUUGUCCUAGCAGAUUUGUGUGUUUUUCAUUUAAAUGAAUUGUAAAAAUCUGUACGUCACAGUGAAUCAGUGUGUAAUUCGGGAUGGCCAAAAUCAUUGUGAAAUCUUCAGGAAACAUGUUUUGGUGGAUGUCAAUAAUCAGCUCAUGUUCAUUUUCACGCUAUGCUUUCACUUUCGUCUGUGCUUCUAUUCUAAUCGAUUCUUCACCUGACCGCAGCACAAUGACAUCUUUUUAUUCACCAGUCAAUCAUUGUUUCUUGACAUGAAUGUUUCCAGCUUGUUUUCUCAGGCCCUGACAGAAGCUGAGUUAGUAAUGGUUAACCUCCUGUAGAGUUCAGCUGAGAGCAACACCAACACACGGUUCAUAUCCCAGAUUCACAAAUAAGAUGAUAAAAUAUACACCUCCAACACACUGUAAUUAAUCUGACACUCAAACAUGGUGAAUCUGGAUUUCUCCAGAUCUUGAUCAUGCACAAAGACAACAGGAGAUUCAUUUUCAGCACUAAGAAACGUUUGCUGCACUUCAUUUCAAUAUUUACACAAGAAAUACCUGAAAGUAAAUUAACAGUGUGCUCAAUGAAGCACUAUGACUUAAAUCCACAAUCUAAUAUGUAUUCAAAAUGUUCAUAAUGUAAUCAUUGUAAUCUUGUAAUAAGGUUAUUUACAUUAUGGCAAAUCUGUGAACACACCAAAAACAUUGUCAUAUUUAAUAAUUUCCAAAACAGAAUAAUAAACAAAACAAAAUUAAAAUAUAUAUAUAUAAAAAAUGCAGUCUUAAAUUACAAUCUAAUAAAUGCUGGGUUAAAAAAACAACACAAAUUGGGUUGAAAAUGGACAAACCCAGCAAUUGGGUUGUUUUGACCCAGCGGUUGGGUUAAAUGUGCUGGGUAGUUUUAUUUAACUCAACUAUUGUUUAAAAAUGACUGUAUUUCUUGCUUAAAAUGAACCCAAAAUAUGUUGGAAAUUAAAAAUCAGACACAUAAUUACUAGAGGCAACAAUAAUAAUCAAAAGGUGAACAUUUAUUAAUAAGCAAUUUAAUAAAUGUUUAUUGUUUAACCAUUAUUCAUUAAACUUAUUUAUAAAUGUUCAUUUAUUAAACAUAUAAUUUCCAACAUACUUUGGGUUCAUUUUAAGCAAGUAAUACAGUCAUUUUUAAUAAAACUCCCCAACAGAUUGAGCAAACAUUUAACCCAACCAACUGGGUUUGUCCAUAUUUAACCCAACUUGGGUUGUUUUUAACCCAGCAGUUUUUAAAGUGAACUUAUGAAAUGCUCCAGAUUUAAAUAUUCUAGCAAUGCUUAUUAUUCAAACAACUGGACAUUAUUUAUAUUUAUACAACAGUUAGUUCUGGUUCUCGAAUCUGAUUGGCUGAGAGCCUUUUCCAGCUAUGCGCAUUCUACUAAUAUCACACGGAAACCAUUUCACAUUUUGUAUCACUCCGCUUGUUUCUGCCGGAUCUACACUGACAGCAUUUCUCACAGCGAGCGUCAAUGAUGGAGGAGCAAACCCACAGUAAUGUUACAAAUACUACUGUUAUUCAGACGUUUUUGAAGAUGUGAGCUAUGAUAUGACAUAUCGCACUCCUACUUGUGUGAUAUUCCUCAUAUUUAUACAUAUAUGAAUAUACACACACACACACACACACACUUAUAGUCUUCAGUUAAAGGAGGAUAUUAAAUGUUUUUAAACUUGACCAGUAACUUUAAAAAAAAGUAAAUAAAUAAAUAAAUAAUUGAAUUUAUAAUAAUUUUGUUAUGGAAAGCUGGAAAAUAUGGGAAAGUUGUCUCCUCCCUUGAGUUCAUUUUGCUCUCCUAACUAUGUAAGAUUAUCUGGUCAGUCAGUUUUUUUUCUAGCUGAAACACAUUUUCGGGGUCACGACCCACUUUAUACUAAAGGUCACAGAACACUGAUGGAGUUCAGAUUGCUUCGAAUGCUACAUUUGCGGAUAUGAAUGACAUGUUCGGACACACAGAGGCGCUUC